rnacentral:lncRNA from 1 species
CUGUAGAAGAUCUUGCAGUUGAACCUUGUUAGGAUUCGUCUAUAUUGGGACUUAUUUAAAAUAUUCCUAAUUCACAUAAAGUGAUACUCAAAGUUUAGAGACUGAAUCGUAAUCUUACUGAAACUUUCUGGUAUUAAAUUUCAUCAAAAUAAGAUUUGACUCAAAUUUUUUAAGCUUGUAGUGCAAUUCAAAAGAUGUCUUAAAAUGGAAAAGUUAGAGAGUGAAAAAUUUAUGAAUUUUGCAAACUUGACUCAGGGAACGUUUGGUUCUGGCAUAAAGCGAAUCAAAAAAUGAUUUUCAGUAUAAAAAAUAUUUUUUCGUUUGUUUGAUUUGAUAUAAAAAUAUUUUUUCAUAAAAAAAUAUUUUUACAGAUUUGGAAAAAAUUGAAAAUUCUGUUUUUUUUGCUGUUUUCGACAGAAAACACAAAAACUCAAGCUCAGUAAAUUUUUCAUUUAUAUUUUUUUUACUACAAAACAAAAUAAAUGUGAAAUUUGUUUCUUCCAACCAAAUAAAUAUUAAUAAAAAAUAAUUUUGUUUUUACAAAUUAAAUACUAUAAAUAUAAAUUUUUUAUCAAAAAAUUUGGUAUAAAAAAAUUAUUUCUUUUUUAGGCUCCCAAUUCCAUCGUAGUUGUUGAUUUGAAUUGAAACGGUGCUGUUUGGAUACACGUGGCAAUAUAAUUACCGUGGAGCCUAGUGUACGCGUGUGCAGGACCAGUGAUCGGAUCCCAACCCAAACUGUGUGUGACUGACUCACUAUAUAUAUAUAUAUAUAUAUAUAAACUCAUUCANAAAUGAUUUUCAGUAUAAAAAAUAUUUUUUCGUUUGUUUGAUUUGAUAUAAAAAUAUUUUUUCAUAAAAAAAUAUUUUUACAGAUUUGGAAAAAAUUGAAAAUUCUGUUUUUUUUGCUGUUUUCGACAGAAAACACAAAAACUCAAGCUCAGUAAAUUUUUCAUUUAUAUUUUUUUUACUACAAAACAAAAUAAAUGUGAAAUUUGUUUCUUCCAACCAAAUAAAUAUUAAUAAAAAAUAAUUUUGUUUUUACAAAUUAAAUACUAUAAAUAUAAAUUUUUUAUCAAAAAAUUUGGUAUAAAAAAAUUAUUUCUUUUUUAGGCUCCCAAUUCCAUCGUAGUUGUUGAUUUGAAUUGAAACGGUGCUGUUUGGAUACACGUGGAAAAAUGGCGGCCACGAGCUCUCUCUUCUCUCUAUCCUUCGCUCCUUCCCGAAGGCGCUCGAUACCCCUCUCUCGUUCGGCGAAUCCCUCUUCCGCCCCUUCCGACCUCUCCUCGAAGCCUCAACUAAUCGAGCUCGAAUUUCUCGGAGUACGUCGAAUUCAUCCUAAAUAUAUUCCAUUCCAUUCCAUUCCAUUCCAUUCCAUUCGAUCUUAUAUAUGCCCUAAACACACACUUACACAGCAUUAAUUAAUGCUCUCGAAACUUUGAGCAGCAUUUCUUUUUCUUGUUUUUUCUUUUUUUUUUUUUUUUUUAGAGAUGUUGUAGCAGUAAUCUUACAUUUCAUAUCAUCUUUUGGUAGCUGAAUCAAAUUCUUACAUCGUCCUGAAAAUUUUAUAAGAUUUUAUUUAGAUUACUGCGUUGCGUUUAGUUCAUUCCGCAUGUAAAAAAUUAUUCCAAAGGGCGGAGGAUGAGUAUUUUACUUUACUGAUUCUUUUUAUCUUAUAAAAAAGGGGCAAUUUCAUUCGUACCCCUGAAAAGUUCAAAAUUAUCGUAGAUGCCCUUAUAUAAUUUGAAAUAUCAAAAUUGCUCCUACAAAUAUUUACUUUGUCUCAAAAAUACCCUCAACUCAUUUUAAUCUUAGUUAUACCAUGAUAUAAUAAAGGUUAAGAAUAAAAUUAUCCAUUUUGCCCCUAUCAAUUAAUAAUAAUCGCUUAAUUGGAUAAUUAACUUAAAGAAAUAAUUAACUAAUGUUAUAAACUUUAGACUUACCUAUUUCUUUUAAAAAAUUUUUUACCUGGUGCAUGUAAAUAUACGGGGAGUUGUCAACAUUAACAACAAAAAAAAAAAAAAGAAGAAAAGGAAAAAAAAAAAAACUGGGGAAAAAUGGCGGCCACGUAGCUCCUCUCUCUCUCUCCUAGUCCCUUCCGCUCCUUCCGAAGGCGCUCGAUACCCUCCUCUCCGUUCGCGCGAAAAUCCUCCUUCCGCCACCUUACCGACCUCUUCCCUCCAGCCUAACUAAUCGAGCUCGAAUUUCUCGGAUACGUCGAAUCAUCCUAAUAUAAUUUUCCAUUCAUUCAUUCCAUAUCCAUCUUAUAUAUGCCACAAAACACCACUUCACAGGCAUUAAUCAAUGCUCUCGAAACUUGUCCAAAUGCCCACGGCUCACACCUUUGAGAGUUUCUUUUUUCUUUUUUAUUUUUUUUUAGAGAUGUUGUACAGUAAUCUUCAUUUCAAUAUCAUCUUUUGGUAGCUGAAUCAACAUUCUUCCACCAUCAGUCCUGAAAAUGUUUUAAGAUUUUUAUUUAGAUUACUGCGUUGCGUUUAGUUCAUUCAGCCAAUGUAAAAAUAUUCCAAAGGGACGGAGGAUGAGUAUUUACUUACUGAUUCUUUUUUUACUUAUAAAAAAAGGGCCAAUUUCAUUAGUACCCCUGAAAAGUUCAAAAUAUCCGUAGAUGCCCUUAUACUAAUUUGAAAUAUCAAAAUUGGCCCUACAAAUAUUUUCCACUUUGUCUCGAAAAAGCCCUCCCCAACAUCAUUUAAUCUUAGUCUAUCUGAUGAUGUAAUAAAGGUUCAGAAUAAACAUUGUCCACAUUGUUGCCCCUGAAACGCUUGAGGCGGCAAUAAUCCGUCGGUCAUUUUUAAAAAAUUUUCUUUAUCCAUUCAGAUUUCCAAAUAUUGUAAUCAAUUAAUAAAGAAAUUCCAAAUUAAGAGGCUUAAUUCGCUAAUAAUAAUUAACUAUUAAAUGAAUUUAAAUGCUAGUCUCAACUGAAAAUUAGUCCAAACGGUAUUAAAACUUAAUUGGAAUAUUAUCUCUUAAAUUCGUGAAAAUUUUUCAUUAUCUACAAAUUUUUUCAAUUUAAUUAUUUAAAACAAUUAUUGCGUUCAUGUAAAAUCCGUUGAUGUAUAAGCAAUUUAGUUUGUCCUUUCUGAAUAUAACUAAUUUUUCAUUUGAGGCGAUUAUAUACUAAUGGCUCUUAGUUGUAAUGUAUUAUAAGUCAACCAAUUUCUCUAUUUAACGUAGUCAAAUAAAAAAAUUUAUUACUUUACAAUCGAUGUAGCAUAUAAACUGAUCAGAAUCAAAAACGUCCCUUGUUUAGACCCUGACGUACUCGUCGGGUCCAAACCAGAUCACAGAAAGAUAGAUCAGGACUAGAAUUACCAGACGAUGUGAGAUUCUAGAGGUGGCUCCUAUGGGUUCAAGAGGUGGCUCCUACCAAAUCCGUUGGUGUGGCACUUUGUUCCGCAUAGCACUUAGCUCUCAUACUUCCGACUGGUAUUCGGCUCUAAUACCAAAUGUAACAAUCCAACCCGCUAGCAAUAAUAACUCGUUGGGCCCAAACCACCGGCCCAAAAUGCUUAAGCCCAUUUAUUAUUAUUAUUAGGGUGGCGUCCUCUUAUAAACCCAAUGACAACCCAUUCUCAUCCAAUGUGGGACUAUUGGGAUGUCACAAUUGGAAACAGUAAUGGUAUAUGUGCGGUAAUCUAUUAUUAUAGUACUGUAUUAAAUUAUACACAACAAUGCGGCAUUAGUAGUAAUCUUAUUCACAGGAAUCAGAUUAUCAAUUGUGUAGAAAUAAUUAGGAAUGCUGCAUAGCGCUAACCAAACGCACCCUAAGGGUAAAUUGCACCACUAUUCCUCAAAUUUUUAUCCAAGAUUCAUUUUAUUCCUCGAAGUUCCAAAUUUGAUGCCAGAAAUCCUAAACUCUUAAAAAAGUUUUACUCAAAGGCUGUUUGGUUGCAUGUAUUUGCAAUUGCGCUACAAUUGUGCGACUGCAUGCACAUUCAAAUCCGACAUUUGUUUUGAUGCGUUUGAAUUCAACUGCUGUAGUUGCAACUAUAUGAGACGUCUAAACAGCAACAGUUGGAACUACGCCCAAUUGGUUGUAGUUCCAACUAACAACACUUGAAGAGAGUAAUUUUAGACAAAGAUAAGCUUAUCUCCCUAAUAACCUUUUUAAUUAUUUUUUUUUCUUUUCUAUUUAGGGGGAUAAUCUCAUCACCCCAUAUAUAAAAUUUUUAAAUACACUUGUCAACUGCAUGCAAUCAAAAAAGCAUUUAUAACUGUAGCACUUUCUAUCACAUCCAGUCAAACAAGAUGCAUGUAAUUAUAAUUGCUUCAUUUCCAACUGUACGCAUUUCCAACUACGUUGAUUUAUAAUUACGUCAAACCAAAUGACCCCUUAGUUUCGUGCACAGCUACUAUUAUGGGGCAAACGAUUGUUUACACCCUGUGCAUCUGUAUAUCUAUGUAUAUAUAUGGUGCAUUUAUCAACCAUUUAAUUUAUUCCAUCUUGUAUUUCAAUCAUAUCACCUAUUUAUUUAUAGUUUUUUGGUUCUUAAUUUUGAAAUUUGACCAUUCAAUGAAUGUGUGAGAUGAAUGAAGAACCGGAAGAUUCAUUGUCUAUGGACAAAUAAAUUAGGUGUAGACAAUAAUUUUACCCUAGGGUAAAGACCAAAAAUAAAUAUUGUUGAAAAUACAGGGGCUAAAAUGAAAUAUUUUUUGAGAAGUUCAGAAUUACUAAAUGUUGAUUUUAAACUUCCAAGGGCAAAAUGUAAGUUGAGUUGAAGUUCAGGCAUUGGUAGUGCAAUUUACCCUCACUUAAAAUAUUAGUCAAAGUUCGAGCAGUAAUCAUAUUGAAAUAGAAAUCAAAGUUCCUGUUUAUUGAAACAAAUUGAAGAAAUCAAAGUUUGUAUUGAUUGAAACAAAUUCAAGCUCCGUGACCAAAAUGAAAUUUCACCAAAACAUGGGUUAGCAAUGUUGUAAAUUACCCGUCAAUUUUAUAUCUAAUAUGAGGAAUCCAUUGUUUAUUUGCAGCCGAAGGCCGGAGGUGAUGGUUCUUCUCCUGUGGACAGGGUGACUGCGAUCAGCGGAGAGAAGCUCCUCCGCAACAUCAUGUUGGAGAACAAGAUCGAGCUCUAUGCCGCAUAUGUAAGCAUAGCUACCCGCAUAACUACUAUCCUAUGAUGCUUCAUUUCCAUAAUGUGAAGAAAAUGAGAUAUUUGGAUGGUAGGGGAAAGUGAUGAAUUGUGGCGGUAGGGGAAGCUGCGGCACGUGCAUUGUGGAGGUAUGCUUGUUGAUUUUACGAACCAUCUGUGAAAUAGGGUACCAAAAUGUUAUCUUUACAAGCCAUGCAUUGAUAAAGCAUACUUCACAAGAUAAUAAAAUGCUACAAUUUAUCACCUAAUGAUUUGUAAAAUGGUUGCACUUGAGUCCUUACAGAAACAGAAUCAAACUCCUCUCUGUGCUAUACCAUAGGGGGUCUCUUUUGAAAUUUGCCCAAUUAUUGUCCUUUUCAUUUAUGUUAUUUUUGUGAUUUGAAGUGAUUAUGAAAUCUUGUAUAGGACGCAUGUUAUAAGGCAAAUUCAUGCUUAGGAAGCCCAUGAGUAGAGUUAAAGUACUGAUUGGGAAAGAAAGUGUUUUUCCCCCUCACUUGAGGGUUAUUUGAUUAGCAUUAUCAGAUUACCAUAUAUUUAUAACGGGGAAUCAAUGGUUCCUCUGAAAUCUAACACACAACAAAUAUUGAUACUCAGGGCAGCCCGGAUUAUCCCCAUUUUCUGUUACCACCACCUUCUUUGUCAUCGUCACAUCGCCACUUUCGUAGCCGUCUGGUUGACAUGAGUUGGCCAAAAUAAACGGACAAUGACUACCAAUAAACCAUACACAAACGAUUGGUUUUGGACAUUCAGCGAGGUUUCUAUGAAAAUUUGGUUUGAUUUCCUUUCCUUUGAAAACAAUCAGUUUACAACUGAAUGUAACCAGAAUAUUUGCAUUGCUUAUGCAGUUUGUAUGUUUUUUUCCUUCCAAAUUUGAAUGUACAAGCAAUACCUGAACCCCUCAAAAACUGUCAAGUGCUAGGCCAUUAGUACUAGCUAGCUUAUUGAGCACCUGUGUCAGUUGACACUUAACUUCUUGAUUCAUUUACAUUAAUGUAUUACUUUCUAGGAGAAAUUUAAUAUGAUGAGAAUAUAAAUGGUACUAAUGAAGGCACCCUGCGCGUUACGGCGGGUCGAUUAUGCAAAAACAAAUAAAUAAAUGAAGCUAAAGAAAGAAGUAACAACAAAAAUAAAAAAGAGUUAAAAAAUAAAAAAGAAUAAAAAUAAAAGAAACAGAAGAAGAAACAGUAGGUACUACUGUAAAAACAUAAGAAUAAAAGUAUAAGAAGGAUAAAAAAAGAAUAAGAGCAAACCAUAAGAAUAAUAAAUUAUAUUUUUACGAGUAGUAAAAGUUGAUGACUAAAAUGUCGUAUGCCUCAUAGUUUGAGCCAGAAAUUGGAAUGCAUUAAAGUUCGAUGACUAAAGUGUCAUGCAUCUUAUAGUUUGAGGACCAAAAGCAUAAUUUACCCUUUUUAUAUUUUAUUGUUGGAAUCAAACGAAGACAGAGUUAAGCAUUGAUUGGUUUUGUCCAAUUAGUAGUUACAUUUGAGGAAAGAAUCUGUUAAACUAUCUAAUAAAUUUUAGAAUGCUUAAUUAUUAAAAUUAAAAGUCGCCUAACCAUUUUUUGGAUAUUCCGAAAGAUUUUUAAAUGUGAAAUUGAUCGCUCAUCAGACUAUAAAUAUUGCAUUGAAUUUUGAUAUUAAAAUUAAAGUAAAAACAUAUAGAACUUUUCUGAAUAUGAACCAUGUUGGAUUGACUAUCCAACCUUUCAAAAUUUUGUUUUUACUAUUAACCUUUCAAUAUGUUAGAUUUAAGUCAGUCAAUAGUACUUUGACUCAAAAUUUGAAUGCGUUGUUUAGCUUUACAGAUUUUAUUUAGUAUACUUCAUACAAUUCUCGCAACUAAAUUUAUUAAAAUAAGAAAUUAACUUAAACUCUAUCUAUCUCUCUUUUAUGUAUUGUUGUACAAUCUAUAUAUACGUGAUCAAUAUUAUAAAACCAAAAUUUAUAUUUAAUACAUGCAAUCUCAAGUAUUUAAAAGUUAUGCAUAAAAAAUUUACAUUUUUUAAAUUUUUAUAAUGAGAGAGAGGAGAAUUAGAUUGAAUUAAAGAAAGGGCCUAAUAUAUAAAAAAUCGGUGGAGAGAGGGAUAUAAGAGAAAAAUUAAAAUGAAAAAAAGAUUGGGCCCUACCCCUAUCCCCAUCCACUCGCCACAUGGAUCUAAAACUAAGAAUGAGAGAGAAGAGAAAAAUUGAGAUGAAAAACAACAACAGAAAAGGGAUGGUCCAUGUGGAUCUAAGAUGUAGAAUUUAUUAUAUUAUAUUCUGUGUCCAAAUUAAUGGAGAGAGAGAGAGAGAGAAAGGAAAAAUUAAGAUGAAAAAAAAUGGGCUGAGCCCCACCUCCACCCCCACCCUCACCUAUUUGCCACAUGAAUUUAAAACUGAGAAUUAAAGAGAGAGAGAGAAGAAAAAAUUAAGAUGAAAAACAACAAUAAAAAAGGGCUAAGCCCCAUCCGUACGCCACCCACUCGCCACGUGGAUCUAGAACUAAAAAUUCAUUAUAUUAUUAUAUCCUUUGUUCAAAUCAUUGGAGAGAGAGAAAACGAAAAUUAAGAUGAAAAACAAAACAAAAAGUUAUGUGUAAAAAGUUAAUACAUACAAUCUAAAUUAUUUAAAAGUUAUGUUUAAAAAAUUUACAUAUCUUAAAUUUUUAUAAUGAGAGAGGAGAAUUAGAUUGGAUUUAAAAAAAAGGGCGCAAUACUCUAUAAUAAAUCAGUGGAGAGAGGGAAAAGCAAAAUUAAGAUGAAAAAAAGGGUUGGGCCCCACCCCAUCUCUAUCCCCAUCCCCACCUACUUGCCGCGUGGAUCUAAAAUUGAGAAUCUGAGACUCCAGGUAGUCCUCUAUAUAAGAUAUAAUAGGGUAAAACUCUUAAUCCGGCUAUAGCAUUUUGGAGUGGUUAGGCUCAAGAGGUUAAAAGAGUUAAACGUACUAGAGGUAGAGUAGCUCUAGGAUAGGUGACCUCUGGAAAGUGGUGCGUCACAGUUGGUAUUAAAGCCAAUUACUAGUCAGAAGUGUGAGAUGAGUUUUGACCGAGCCAGGUUAUACAGUGGAGAGAGCGAUGCUCUCAUGCUGAUGACUGUUGUAGGUAGAGUAGCGCUCCCCACAAGGUCAGUUAGGACUAGCGAGACGAGUCUCACAUCACCUGAUACCUAUGAGUCUAGGCCUGACAGGAACGUUAGGGCUUAAAGAGGGGAAGAAGGUGAGAUCCCAGUUAGUUCUAUAUAUAAGAUAUAAUAGAGCUAAAACUCUUAACUCGGCUAUAGAAAUUUGAGCGGCGGUUGGGCCCAAGAGGUUAAGAGAGUUAAGCGUGCUAGAGCUAGAGUAUCUCUAAGAUGGGUGACCUCAUGAGAAGUGGUGCGUCACAGUGGAGAAAGAGAACCCCACCUCCACCCACUUGUCACAUGAAUCUAAAAUUGAGAAUUCAUUAUAUUAUAUCCUAAUCAAUAUCAGUGGAGAGAGAGAAGAGGGAACGGAAAUUAAGAUGAAAAAAAAAUAGGCUGAGCCCCACCCCCACCCCUACCCACAUCCCCACUCGCUCACCAUGUGAAUCUAAAACUGAGAAUGAUAGAGAGAAGAAAAAAAUUAAAAUGAAAAAAAAACAAAAAAAUGGUUGCACCCUAACCCCAGCCCACCCUACCCUCUCGCCAUGUGGAUUUAAAACCGAGAAUUCAUUAUAUUAUAUUCCCUGUCCAAACCAUUGGAGAGAGAGAAGAGGAAAAUUAAGAUGAAAAAUAAAAAAAAGUUAUGUAAAAAAUUAUUUAAAAAUUUGUAAAAAAUUAAUAUAUGAAAACUAAAUUAUUUCAAAGUUAUGUUUAAAAAAUUUACAUAUGUUUAUAAUGAGAGAAAAGAAUUAAAUUAGAUUAAAAAAUAGCCUAAUCCCUUUGUAACAAAUUAGUGGAGAGAGAGAAGUGGAGAAUUACGAUGAAAAAAAGAGUCGCACUCACUCGCCACGUGGAUCUAAAACUAAGAAUGAGAGAGAGAUGACAAAAGUUAAGAUGAAAAAUAAAAACCAAAAAAGAGCUGGGUCCCACCCUACCCCUGCCUUCAUCUACUUGUCACAUGGAUCUAAAAUUGAGAAUUCAUUAUAUUAUAUUCUCUAUCUAAAUCAGCGGAGAGCGAGAGGAGGAAAGUUAAGACGAAGAAAAAAAGGGCCCAGCCCCAGCCGUACCCCGACCCAGUUGUCACGUGGAUUUAAAACUGAGAAUGAGAGAGAGGAGAAAAAUUACGAUGAAAAAUAAGAACAAAAAAAAGGCUGCCCCCACUCCUGUCCCCCCCAACUCGUCAUGUGGAUUUAAAAUUGAGAAUUCAUUAUACUAUAUCCUCUAUUCAAAUCAUUGGAGAGAGAGAGAGAGGAGAAAAAUUAAGAUGAAAAACAAAAGCAAAAAAAAAAAGGCUAGACCCAACCCCCACCGAGGGGGGGCCCCACCACCACCCACUCGCCACGUGAAUCUAAAACUAAAAUGAGAGAGAGAAGAGGAAAAUUACGAUAAAAAGCAAAAACAAAAAAAGGGCUGGAUCCCACCCUCACCUACUUGCCACGUAGAUUUAAAAUUGAGAAUUCAUUAUAUUAUAUAGAUGCUUUUUGAAGAUUGAGCAAACCAACAAUAAAGUAGUUCCUUCAAAUGAUACGUGGAACAUCAGCUUAGGGUGUCAAUUGAACUAGAAAUUCAGACUUGUAAAUUUUUCUGUUUACUUUCCUCUUUUGGGGUGAUUACUAAAAUAACAUGAUAUAAAGAUUUAUGACUGGUAUUGAUGAUUUGUUAGUUUGUGACUUGCCUCAUUGGCUUAUGAUUUAGGCAAUUGAGAUAGAGUGUUUGUUUGAAUCUUUUCCUACUUGUUCUUAAAUUGACGGUCUAAAUCUUUUUGGCUCUCUAUAUAAAUGUAUAGAAGAGUUCAUUCUGCCUAAAAAUGGCUCAUUGGCUUGAUUGCCUUGUCAAUCUUGAUUCGUUGAAGUAGAUUAGAUAAUGAAUUGAACUCAAACUUCAUACACCGGGAAUCUGGAUUUGUCAAGUCUGAAUUUAUUAUGAAAGCUAGAGCUUACCUGAGAAAUAAAGUCACAAAGGCAGGAACUGGAUCAUAAACUAUGUUUUAGGGAUAUACAAGGAUACAGAAUUUGUUGGAAGCAACUUAAAUCAGCAGUGAUGCCACUAACCAAGUUACAGGAGGACAUAAUGUACCCAAGAAGAGCAAUAGGGGAUACUCAACUUGGGAGAUGGGAAGUUCUGUCCAUAAUCAGAUGAUCAGGUCAUCUUUUGAUUUAAUCAUGGACGACCGAUAAUAAAUAAACUAAGACUUGUUAUUGAGUAAUGUCCAUAAUCAGAUGAUCAGGUCAUCUUUUGAUUUAAUUAUGGACGACUGAUAAUAAAUAAACUAAGACUAGUUAUUGAGUAUCUCUGUGCUAUUGGCAUAGUUUUAGAUUAUACGUAAAUUAACAUGGUUUUAGAUAAACAUAAACUAAGACACUUUGAAUGGAAAAAAGUUAUGGAAUUUCCAUGACAUGUUAUUGAAUAAACUGUGCCUAGGCCACUACAACUUCAGCUUGGCAUUUACAUGUAUAAUGCCACAAUGUCAUACUGGCCAGAGUGGGGCUUUGAUGCAUUUAUUUUGCAAAUCUAUGACCUUACUUGUGAACUAGGAUGCUUCACUGCUUUCAUUUGUUAGCUCUAGCAGUUUCUUAAAAUCCUAACUUCAGUUCUUUUCUUGCAUUGGUGCUUUCCCUAGUAGUAGGCUAUGCCCAGGCUUCUGAAUUUAUCUAGGUUGAACUAGAACCAAGUUUCGUGAGACAAAAUUAACUGCUCUGCUUGAUCAUUGAGUUCGAUGUGGAAAGUCUGCCUUACUAUCUCAAGCCCCGUAAACUCUUGAAUGAGCUAUUGAGGUGACUAGAAAAGAGUUGUUGCUUCUACAUCUUUCAUACCAUCAGUUAUUGAUUGAAAUGAACUAUCACAUCACAAGAAUGCAGCAACAAUUGUAGCUCCAUCGUUAGUCUGUCGAACUUACCGCAUUCAUUUUCUGAAAGCUAUAGCCUAACAAUCUCUAUUUCUGCUCGAAGUCAGCUUAUUGCCUCCAUCUAUUCUGUCCCAAAAGUUUACUAGUUGGACAUUUUGAAUGAAUUUGAAGUGUACUAUUGUCAAUCUUGCAGAUUAUUGAUGGCAAGGAACUCUUGAAUGAGCGAACAAACACUGAACUUCGGUACCUGAAAAAGGCAUGUUGUUCUAUUUAUCAACUUUAAACUAGUUUGUGCUGCUCAACGCCAAAUUUUAGAAUGGCACAUGAUAUUACUGUGUUAAAGACGUAUAAAGAUUACUGUGUUAGUAUCUAAGAGUUCAGUUUUUUUGUUUUCUAUGGACACCCUCAGCUAACUGUAAGUUUGAUCACUUAUCCUUCUAUUUUAUGCACUUGCCGUUGGAAUUCAUUGAAGUUUCAGUUUGUUGGUUACGCAACAACACUUAAUGAAGGUGUCAUCAGUCCUUGUUGGAAAAUCUACAGAGAUAGAGGGAAGGUGUCAAAUUUGAAAAAACAGAAAAAGUUUUAAGGGAAACGAUAGGAAAAAAAAAAGAAAAGAAAAAGAAAAAAAGGAACUUGAAGCAGAGAGGGUCUCAUGAAAAAAAAUGAUGUGGAGUUGAAGCAUGCAGUAUUUUACCUUAACUACAUAAUGUUUACAUGGAGAUUAGCUUUUCGGUUAUCACCUUUGCAACUUUGUUUUUAAUUGCUAAUAAAGGGUGAAUACCUCUAAUGGUUCUUGAACUUUCCAAAGGACUCGUUUUGGUCCCUGUUCUUCCAAAGUGGAUGAGUGAUACUGAAAUUUUGGUAAGUGUUCCAAGUGAGCAAUAUGUGUCAUUUUUCAUCAUUGGCAGAGAUGCUGAAAUGACUGCCGCACCGUUCUCAAUGUCGCUCAAGGUGAUGUGGCUGCCUUGUCAGCACUUCCAUGACUCAAACUUAAGCUGAUAUGACUACCCUGUCAGCUGACAUGGCUACCGUUCAGCUUUGUGAUCACUCAAAUGCUUCUGAACACUCAUCGAAAUUAGCAUUGCGGUUUGCUUAUGGAAAGAUUGGGGUUCAUUAGUGCAGUAGAAGAUCACAUGCAUUGGAACCCAUGGUUAUGGACCGGGGGUUCGUUAGUGCAGUUUACUCAUAAAAUCAAUAUAUCUACUGUUAACUUUAUUUUCUUCUUAUUCUUUGACAAUUACAGAAACCCGAGUCUUGGAGACUUGCCUGUCAAACUAUCGUAGGCAAUAAAGAAAACUCUGGCAAGGUAUGCUUAGAUUUGUUUUUUUUUCUAUUAUUCUGCAGAAUUUGCAAUUGCUUUCCAUUUGCAAUUAUCUAACGAUUUUGACGACCAACUUUGUCAGUGCAUUUGAUGCUGCUUCUAUGCAUGAAUUAUACAUUUUUUCGGUAUAUUUCACUUCUUCAAUCUUAAUUUAACGAACUCGGUCCUAUUUUCUUCUCUCUUGAUAAUAGUUUGUGAACCUACCAGUUAUGCUAAUGAGUGGCAUAUCGACUUACCGUUACUACUAAUUUUUUUUGAACUUUAUAGCUUUUUCAAAAUGACUCUUUGAACUUCGAAUUUUGCAACUGGACCUCCAAAACUUUAUUAAAUAGUUCAAUUUGCUAUUCUCCUUAAGUAUAGUUAUUAAUUGAACAGCCAUGCUUGCGUCAUGCAUAUUUUACAGAUGAUGAUCUUAUAAAACUCCAAAAUAAUAAAAUGGAAAAAAAAAAAAAAUCUACUUCUUGCCUUCCAUGAAUGAAAGAAAAGCAUCAAGAAUAUUGAAGAAUGGGAUGAAUCCUCCUAUAUUUAUUGCUCUUUUCAAGCUUCAGAAUGGUAAUAAGAGAUUUUGCUAUGAUUUAAAGCUUCACAAGAUCACGUGAAGGAUAUUUGUUUAGAAGGGCUAUGUUGGUAUUACUUCGGUUGAGAAGGGCGUUUUGAACAGCUCAAUAAAGUUAAAGGGGGCUAUUUGCGCAAGUUUUGCAAGUUCAAUGGGUGUUAGUACAGUUUCCCCUUUUCUUUUUUCUUUAGUAGCAUAUGUUUUUGAGAAUAACAGUUGUUUCACCUUAUUUUAACGUGGUAUCGGAGCCUCUCAACUUUUCUCUCAUUUAAUUCAAGCGCAUGUCUCGGGCUUAUCAAAAAGCUUGAUGUUACAUACGAGGUGGUUUUUGAAGAAUAAUGAUUGUUUCAAAUUUUUUACGAAAUUUUAAUGAAUAGAAUUUGUGUAUAAAAGGAUAGAAAAUUCUUAUAUUAUUUUCCUUCUUCGCAGGUAGUUGUCCAGCGAAUGCCCCAAUGGAAGAAAUGAUUUGUGCACCUUUGUUGAUUAUGGUUCAAAUCACUUUGCUAUAUUAUUCAUUGUAUUUGAAAUACACAAAUAUUAAACCCAUUUUGGUGUUCAAUAGUAUUUUUAUUUAUAUUGGAGUGUAGAAUGUGGGAGACAAAGAAAUAAGGUUCGCGACACACGGAUCUUUCAAAAUAAAGUUUAAAUGAAUGAUUAUUUUUAAUCCUAGUAAUUCGUAUAGUAAUUUUCGUUCGGCUUACAUCAUUGGCUCUCUUACAUCAUUGGCUCUGUUGGCUUAAAUGGGUCACUAUUCUGUCAUGUGACGGAAGGUCGUGUUGAGCGAGUCAUGUUCGAAAUGGCGUGAAGCUGGAAGGGCCGAGUUAUGUUCGAAGUGGUGUGAGGCUAGUUAGGCUGAGUCAUAAUCGAGACCCGUAGGUGUUGUAUCUAUGCACUUUAUGUGAAUUGAUUAUGUAUUUAUAACAACUCGAGCUUUUGGGAUUAAUGAUUAGCGUCACCAAUACGACAAGUUGGUAUCAGAGUCAAUUAUCAGCUAGAAGUGUGAGAUGAGUCUCGGCUUAGCUGGGUUAUACAGCAGGGAGAGCCGGGUUUCAUGCUGAUGACUGUUGUGAGUAGAGUGCGGCUUACUACAAGAUUGGCUAAGACUAGCGAGACGAGUCUGAGCCUGACGAGAACAUUAGGAGCGUGCUAGAGGUAGAGUAGCUCUAGGAUAGGUGACAUCUGAAAAGUAGUGCGUCUCCCAUCCUAGGACUAGAGUUAAGCGUAUUAGGACUAGAGUAGUUUUAGAAUGGAUGACCUCCUGGGAAGUGGGGCGACAUAAUUGGUAUCAGAGCUAGAGGUCACGGAUUCGAUUUUUAUAUGCUGCGAAUAUGUGCAGGUGUUCGAGGAGGGAUUGUUGGCUUAAAUGGACCAGCAUUCUGCCCUGUGGUGGGAGGUCAUGUUGGACCAAGUUAUGUUCGAAAUGACAUGAGGCUGGAAGGGCCGAGUUAUGUUUGAAGUGGCGUGAGGCUGUUUGGACCGAGUCACAAUCAAGACCCAUGACUGCUGUAUCUAUACGCUUUAAAUAAAUUAAUUGUGUAUUUCUAAUAGCUCAAGCUUUUGUGAUUAAUAAUUAGCACCAACAAUAAGACAAGGUCAAAUAAUUUAGAGCGAUUUGGGGAAAAAAGCUUUUCGGCUUACAUGUAUCCUCCAAUCCCAGUAAGCACAAAACUCACUUUGUAUAGUGGAUUCAAUUAUUCAUCUGAAAUGUAUUGGCUACUGUUAACGAGCGGAACAAAGGAAGCUGUGGACUCAUUUCAUAAAUGAGCCAAGCACGAGUUGACUCCUUAAAGUAUUGAGCUGAAAUACUCGGCUUGUGUUCAGCUUAUUUAUUAAUGAGCCGAACACGAACCGAACAUGAGCAGAAUAUGAGCCGGCUCACGAAUAAGAAGUUAAAAGAAUUAGAAAGGCUAUACAUAAGAAAUAAAUUUGUGAGAUCUUAUACAUUAUACUUUGAGUUAAAAUUUUACAAAUAUAUGAGUUUUUCUACAAUUGAGUUGGGUUUUAUGUUUAGACUAGAGUAAAAAUCAAAUAAUAAAAAAUUGUAUUUUAUAUAUAUAUAUAUAUAGAGAGAGAGAGAGAGAGAGAGAGUUGAGCUAGAAUACUAUCGGUAGUAAACUAGCCGUUUUACUACUGAUUUGUUUUCGAUGACAGAACUUCCAAAUUGACGAUCGACUCCGUUGAACAUGAUCUAUACCAUUUAAAGUGUUUAGAAAUCAAAUUUCAAAUCUUUUCGACAUCAUUUGCCUAAUGAUCAAGGGUUAAAAUUUGUAAUUUUAAUGGUCGAUAAGCGGCGUUUUCUCGUUUAACGGCGUAAAGAUACCAAAUCAAUUGAAUUUUUGUUAGAAAAUUUUUUAAACUAUUUAAAACAAGAUCUAUACUCUUGAUCUUGAUUACACGACUCCUAUCAUUAUUUUUUAAAGAGUAUUCAUUUCAGCCAUUCAUUUUUCUGUUCACUUGAUGGAUAAAAGAAUAAUAUUGAAAGUGCGUGAAAUUUGAUUUCUAGGUAGUUUAAAUGGUUUAGAUCAUAUUUAACGGAGCCGAUCGUCAAUUUGGAAGCUCUAUCACGAAAACAAUCGGUAGUAAACGGCCGUUUACCACCGAUAGUAUUCUAGCUCAACUCUCUCUCUCUCUCUCUCUCUCUCUCUCUCUCUCUCUCUCUCCUAUAUAUAUAUAUAUAUAGGGUCCGGCUACUAUCUAUUAAUAGGAUUGAGACUCUUGUCCUAUCAAGUCGAUUUGAAUGAUCGAACUUCAAAUUGAUAAUCGGCACCAUUGAAGUUGAUCUACACAAUUAGAAAUGUUUAGAAACCAAAUUUGUAAUAUUUAAAAAUCAUUAUCAAGUUCAUCUUAAGAGUUGAAAAAUGAACGGUCAUAAAUGAAUAACCUUCUUAAAUAGAGGUUAGACUUUCUCAGUUCGUAAUCAGAGUUAUCAAACAUUAUCUUAAUCAGUAUAAAAGAAUUUUCUAUCAAAAAUUCAAGCAAUUUGGAUGCUCUACACCGUUAAACAAGCAAACGGCAAUAUAGAUCGUCAAAAAUUGUCGAAUUUACACACUUUGAUCACCAUAGUAAACAUAUCAAAAUUUAUGAAAUUUAGUUUCUAGAUAUUUCAAAUACUCUAGAUCAACUUCAACGGCUCCGAUUCAUCGAUUCGGAAUCUCGAUCAUCAAGAACAAUUUGAUAGGACAAGUGCUCAUAUCCUAUUGAAUAGGAUAGUAGCAUUAGCCUAUAUUAUAUAUAUAUUAUAUAUAUAUAUAUAUAUAUAUAUAUAUAUAUUUAUAUAAGGUAUAUAUAUAUAUAUAUAUAGUGGUAGCUACUAUACUAUUGAUAGUACCAAGCCUUGGUACUAUUGAGUUUUCUACCGUUAGAUCUACUCUUUGAUCGUUUCACCCGUUAGAUUAUACUAUUAAACCAACCACCACUCACCCUAUGGAAACGCUAUCAUCCUAACGCACAUCUUUUUCAUCCAACGGCCGAAAAAUUAAUAGUACCAAGAGACUUGAUACUAUUGAUAGUAUAGUAACAUAAUUCUCUCUUCUCUAUAUAUAUAUAGAGAGAGAGAGGUCCGGCUGAGAUACUAUUGAUAGCACAGAGCAUUUGGUGCUAUCAAGUUUUCUGCCGUUAGAUUUACCUUUUUAUCAUUUUAUCCGUUCAUAACUAUUCAACUAACCACCCACUCAAACCUAGGGGACUCACAUCAUCCUAACCGAUAUCUUUAAUCCAAUGGCAGAAAACUUAAUAGCACUAAGUCAUUGAUGCUAUUUAAUAGUAUUUCAGCCUAGUUCUAUAUAUAUAUAUAUAUAUAUAUAUUAUAUAUAUAUAUAUAUGAUAUAUAUAUAGUUUCGCGCUACUAUGCUAUUAAUAGCACGAAGCACUUGGUGCACAAGAUUUUCCGCCGUUAGAUCUACCCUAUUGAUCAUUUUCAUCCGUUAGAUCAUACUAUUCAACCAACCACUCACUCAAGCCUAGGGGAUCCACAUCAUUCCUACUGUCGCUAUAUUAGGCAGCACACAGCAGCCCUUGUGCUCUAGUUCCUAACCGUCUAUCAAUUUUGAUGGAUAGUUAGGGUAAAGAGAAAAGAAAAAUUUGAGAGAAAUUUAAAAGAUGAGAAAUUGAGAAACCAAUUUCUCUCCAAUUUCUCUUCUCCCUUUCAUCCUAACCACCCAUCAAAUUUGUAAAGCGGUUAAGAACUUAGGAGCACAAAUUUGGUACUUGUAGAUUUUUGGCCUUUGAAUUAAGAGAUGUGCGGUUAGGAUGAUAUGGCCCCUAGGUUGAGUGGGUAGUUGGGUUGAAUAGUAUAAUCUAACGGAUGAAAAUGAUAAAAGGAUUAGAUCUAACGCGUAAAAAAUUUAUAAGCACCAAGUACUUUGUGCUUUUACAACACCAUAGCCGGACUCUCUCUCUCUCUCUCUCCUCUCUCUCUCUCUCUCUCUCUCUCUCUCUCUAUAUAUAUAUAUAUAUAUAUAGAAUUGAGCUAGAAUAUUUUUGGAGUUACCAAACUCCUUGAUGCUUCUAAGUUUCUAACCCUUAGAUCUAUUCCUUGACUACUAAUAGUGUUUGGAUCAAACACUAUUCCACCUACCACCACCUACCACCAUCAUCUCAAUCCUACCAUCAUCUCAAUCCUACAUCUCUCAAUCCAAUGGCUAAAAACUCAAAAGCACCACUCUUUUGAUGAUUUUGAGAGUAUUCUGGCUCAACUCUAUAUAUAUAUAUAUAUAUAUAUAUAUAUAAUUAUUUAUUUAUUGAGAUAAGCUUCUAUCCUUUUGAAAAUACGGGAGCCUCCGUACUUGUCAGUUAAUUUCAAUGAUAAGACAUUUGAUUCGAUGAUCGGCUCUUUAGACAUGAUCUACACUAUUAGAACUAUUCAGGAACCAAAAUUUCAUAAUUUUUUUGAUUUUGUUUGCCUAGUAAACGAGUAGCCUCAAAAUAAAUGGCUAAAAAUAAAAAUAUCAUAAAAAAUAAUGAUAAGAGACUCAAAUUUCAAAUUGGAAGUAUCGUUUUAGCAUGCUUUUGAUGUUAAAUAGAAAUCUUUAUUAAAAUUUAAUGUUAUUUGGACUUUUAUACACCGUUGAACUUACAAACAUGCCACAUUGGCCGUUAAAAUAGCCAUUUUUAAGAUUCUUUGGGCAUUUGGUAAAUGAUAUCAAAAUAUUAUAAAAAUUGAUUUCUAAAUAGUUUUAAUAGUAUAGAUCAUACUUAACGAAGCUGAUCGUCAAAUCGGAUGUGCCAUCAUUGAAAAAAACUUACAAGUGCGGAGGCUUCUGUACUUUUGAAAGUGCAAAAGACGUACUCUUAUUUAUUUAUGUAUAUAAAUAUAAAAUAUAUGUAUUCAAGCUGUUAUCGAGCAGAAUAAGAGCAAGCUGACACUAACUCAUGCUCGGCUUGUUUACUAAACGAGCGAUUUAACAUCAAGCUCAUUUGAGCCGAACACGAGUUAGCUCGCGAAUAGCAAGCUGGAUUACCACCCCUAGGCUAUUGCAAAUACUACUGUUAUUCAAUACUAGACUAAAUCGUCCGUGAAGAAGGUAUUUAUUUUCAUACAUAUGAUUUAAGUAUCAAUCACCCAAUAUAGGAAUUAGUUAUAGUUUAUGUUAUCCGAUAAUAUUAGUGUCUCUUUAGUAUUUUUUUUAUAGGAAUUAAUUUUUUAACAAUCGACCUUAUCAGACAGUAUGUUUAAGAAUUGUCGGAGUAUUUUAUUAUUAAAAUGAAAAAUUAUAUAUAUUUUUAUUUACUCUGCUAAAUGUUAUGGAGUUAUAGCUAUUCAUUCUCUAGCAUUCAUUGUAGAGUUAUAAGUAAAUUUAUAACUCAUCAUCUCUUAAAUCUUAAUUUCGUAAUCUAUGUAUAUUUAUACCUAUAAUUCCUAUAUUUUGAAUUUACAACUGAGUGGGAAGUAACAUGUGAAUUUACAUUUCUUGUAAUCUGUAGGCCCAUAGUGACUUCUAUUCAGACAAUAACUAUUUUUUCACCGACUGAGUGGGAAGUAACAUGUGAAUUUACAUUUCUUGUAAUCUGUAGGCCCAUAGUGACUUCUAUUCAGACAAUAACUAUUUUUUCACCCAUCGUUCCUAGUGUAAGUGGCAAAAAUUUUGGUGGUUAGUAUCCGAGGUUCCAAGUUCGAAUCUUAGUUGAUUGAUAUUUCUAGCUAAGUUUAUUUCUAAAAAAAAAAAGCGGGUAGCAAUUCAUCUAUUUGUGCAGUGUUAAUGAGGCCGCAUGAUGAGAAUCGAGCUUGAUCAACUCGAUUGAUAUUUUUUUCAUUGUUUGUAGCCCAACCUUUAUUUUUCUAUUCUUGCACCAAUGAUUUUAAGAAGAUUCAAAGAUGGAGGUUACACGGGAAUUUAAACAUUUGUGAAAGUCUAUAAGUAAUCGAAAUAUUUCACCAAAAUAAACUUCAUUAAGUUUUAUACAAUUUGCUCCCAAAAUAUUAUAACACUUCAUUUUUCCAAAAGAAAAGGGGUGCAUCUAGACCACUCUUGGUCCUCUACUUCCCGACGUAUGCCCUUGCCACGGUCAUGAGCCUCGCCAGCAAUGCUAGAAUCUAAAAAAUGAAAAAUCACAUGAGGUGAGAACUACAGAUAGUUUUCAAUGAAUGCAACCACCGAGACGGUGCUCUCGAUCCAAAAAAAGGCACUAGUAGAUAGUUGCAAUAAAUAACAUUUACUUCUACCAGUGAAAUGCAUAAAUUGAAAUAAAGCUACAAUGCCUCAUUAUUAUUCACAAUAUGCCACCAGUCACCACUUUACUCGAUGUAUCUUAUGCCCCUAACUGGUUCAUGCUUUUCAAUUACACUUUUCCUUCUAUAUACUAGCUAGGUAGUUUGAUUUCCUUUCUUAUCACAUCUCAUGGAUAGUUGAUUGCUCACACACCUCUUCCAAUUGGUAGUUUAGUAGGGUCAUUGUCUCCCCAACUCCCCCAAUAAUUCCUUAUAGGGAGUCGAUUGCUUGCACCUCUCCUUUUCCAUUUGACACUUCCGGAAGGUCAACUAUUUUACCGUUACACUCUAAGUUCAAGACUCUAGGAUUAAUACUCAUGGUUCAAUCUACACAACUUGUUCUCUCGUUCUUGUCUUACUUAGAGCUCUUUUGUCUUCAUGUUACCUCGGGUUUUGACCUAGCUUUAGAUGUUAUACGUGUUUAAUUUAUUUUUCUGGGUUCUCUUCAAUAUACAUGCAAAUGUCUAAUAUUUCAUCUUCAUACAAGAGGGAUCAAACCCCAUUUUUACUAGCAUGCACUAAAAUCCAUUUAGUUUCAUAAUAACUAUAAAAUAUGCUAAUAAAUCCAAGAAAAUGAUGGACAAAGGGGAGAUCAAAGCUUUUAGGUGAUAUGCUAAUAAAGCCUGCUAUCAUGCCUCUACUGUAUCAUCUGUGUCAACUAUUAUCUCUACAUGCAUCAAGUUAUAUGAAUAUAUGUUGACUAUUCAACAUGCACUUAACCCGACUAAAUAAGGUCCAUUCAAGCUUGAGCCUUACCUCGUGGGACGUCGAUCAAUCACACACAAACCCACGUCGGCGCUCAACAACUAGGCGAAACAAAUAAUCGCAUCCUCGUUAGGCUAUAUCUCUGGAGGGCCACGAUUUGUAGGAUUUGACUCUCAUAAGCUAAAGUGCUCAUUGAGCGCUCGUUGUGUUCAUUUUGGUUUCUUGCAACCUAUAAGCACAUAUCCCUACAUAUUAAGUCACAUUUGAACACAAUUAAAGGCUUUCAAGCUACAUUAGCAUUUUGUGGAACACCUUGUGUGCGCUAUUAUGAAUCAAGCUCUAUAUGUCUAAUUGCCUUGUCCAACUAAUGUCUCACUACAGUACCAUGCUCCCAAAAUAUGUUUUAGUCAAGAAACAUAAAUAAUAACAUUUAAAAGCCAUGCAUGUAUAAAAAGUCCAACUCCAAUCGCUAGAUUUUUUUUUACUUAUAUUCAAAAAUCAUCAUUUAAUAAGAAAUCUCUACUUUGACUAGGUUCAUCUCAUACAACUUAGAAUAGAUACCUUGUUAGGAACACAAAAGAGAAGAUAUAGGAGGAGAUCACAUGUUUCGAAGAUUUAAACCCAUCGAUUUUUUUAGAGAAAACUGUCGCCAACUCAAUCGGAGUUGUCGAGUCUACCAAACAACGACCCUACAAGAAGGUUCCUAACCCAUCAAUACCGUUUAAAAGCUCCAAUUAGAAGACUCUCAAAUCUAAACCGUAAAAAUCACAAUUAUUCAAAUUUUUCUAAAGCCACCGAAAUCACACUAUUUAAAGUGUAUGGAUAAAAGAGCUCACCUCUUCCAAGCUCUGUUUCCUAGACUAAGCCUUUUGAACCUAUGGUUGGAUUCUCCAAGAACUAUUACUCCUCUUAUCUUGCUCCAGCUCCAAGCUUGGUUGGGAUUGAGCCUUCAAAGUGAGGCUUUGAAGAAGAUCAAAUAGUGGAGACGGAAUGAGAGAUAAAGGUGGGAGAGAGGGAGAAAGGGAGAGAGUUCUUUCUUGUUCAAGAGAUAUGAGGGUGCGAGAGUGAGAGAGUGAUAUAAAUAGAGGCAACAAGAGGCUCUACUCAACAUAGCCUGCAUAUAGGUGAGUAUUAUUGUCACGCCCCGCCUCGAGACCGCUACCAAUUUGGUCCGGUUCGGGCGCGCCGGACGGACGCCGAACGGACAGCAUCUCCCCUGUCCGCCCAAGGCUCAACACAGGAUCAUGUACAAAGAAUUUGCCCAGGGAUAAUUCAAUACAUACACAAUCCAACAAGGAGAGAAGCACAAAGAGUGCAAUACAACAAGAGCAAGUAACAUAAGUAUACAUACAAGUGCAUAAGGAGAGAUACAUCUAGCUAUUACAUCACAUUCCACUUUUACAUCUUUGAUUACAUUUACAUUUUCAUCAUCACCCAAAAUGAAUACAUAAUCAUCUCACAUAUAUAUAAUGCUAGCUAUCCAAAAUACAUCAUGUCAUCUAUAACCAUGCACACGAGGGUGCUCUAGUACAAUAGGAAAGCUCUACUANUCAACUUAUCAUAUUAACUUGCCUAUUUUACUAUUUUUUCCAUUUAGAUUGCCGUCUUUUGAACUAUCGUGGUUUACGAGACACGAUAGUUAUCAUAGAGUCGGCCUGAGAGAGAGAGAGAUAUAUAUAUAUCUCUCUCUCUCUUAAUACAAUGAUAUGAUAGUUAUCAUACUUCAGGAAUCAUGAUAAUUAAAAAGCCGGCAACCUACUUUUCUACACGCCAAUCCUACUAUCGCAAAGGUAUCCCAACUCACCCACCAACCAAAUUAUCAUAUUAGAUUGCCCACCUUAUACUAUUAAACCAACCACCCACUCAACCCUAUGGAAACGCUAUCAUCCUAACCGCACAUCUUUUCAUCCAACGGCCGAAAAAUUAAUAGUACUAAGGACUUCAUACUAUUGAUAGUAUAGUAACAUAAUUCUCUCUCUCUCUAUAUAUAUAUAGAGAGAGAGAGAGUCCGGCUGAGAUACUAUUGAUAGCACAGAGCAUUUGGUGCUAUCAAGUUUUCUGCCGUUAGAUUUACCUUUUUUAUCAUUUUAUCCGUUCAAUUAUACUAUUCAACUAACCACCCACUCAACCCUAGGGGACUCACAUCAUCCUAACCGCAUAUCUUUUAAUCCAAGGGCAGAAAACUUAAUAGCACUAAGUCAUUGAUGCUGUUAAUAGUAUUCCAGCCUAGUUCUAUAUAUAUAUAUAUAUAUAUAUAUAUAUAUAUAUAUAUAUAUAUAUAUAUAUAUAUAUAUAUAGAGAGAGUNUAGCUAUUACAUCACAUUCCACUUUUACAUCUUUGAUUACAUUUACAUUUUCAUCAUCACCCAAAAUGAAUACAUAAUCAUCUCACAUAUAUAUAAUGCUAGCUAUCCAAAAUACAUCAUGUCAUCUAUAACCAUGCACACGAGGGUGUUCUAGUACAAUAGGAAAGGUUUACUAGCUAGCUAGGGCGCUACGCCCUUACCGCGAUCACCUGCCGGUCCGCUCUCGUGUGUACCUGUUAAACCAAUACGGCGCGGACAGUUGGCACACUGAGUUCAUAUACAUAUUCAGGAUUCGAAGCUCUGGAUCGGGAGCACGGAAAAUGCGCCAGGAGAUAUGAGCCGCGUCUGUUCGAAAAACGGGAUAACCGCAAGUGGUUAUGGGCGGUUCCCAACAGCAGUUCCAAUCGGCCGAACGUGGUCCUUCAAAUCCGGAGAAGAUGGCCGAUCGUGCAAUAACUAAACACAAGGGGAAAGUAUAUAAAUAAGCCUGUAGUACCCUGAAAAGGGGUCUCCGCCCCUUCGCACAAAAGACCACCUUUAUUUUCCCUGCAUUUUUUCGCUUCUGCCUAGGAGUAGUUUUAUACCUUAGCUUCCCUGGAGUCUGUCUGCCCUCCGGGCAUCACUUCAUUGUAAACACCUUGGAGUCUGUCUGCCCUCGGGGCAUCACUCCCUUGUACACCUUGGAGUCUGUCUACCCUCCGGGCAUCACUCCCUUCCUAUUAAUAGAAAGUCUUUUUCGGCUCCUCAGGCCGACCAGAUCUCGUUUUGUCCUAGCUAUUCGGCUCAUCUCUCAGCCGAAAUAUAGGCCCCACCUGUUCAUUCGGCUCAUCUUGCCGGAGUGAAUUUACUAAGGAGGUUUUUUGGACCCGACCGAUUUGAUCCCUCAUCGGUCAAAUCGCUUGAUCCGUUGUGGGCGCAAAUUUCGAGGGUCACUUCAGCAGCCAAUUUCCACCCCGACAUACUUCUCGAGGAGGGUCAAGGCACCAGGAAAUUUGGCUAUCAACAAAGUUUUGGCACGCCCGGUGGGAACGCACAUUUGAGGUAAAUUUGAAUUUGAUUAUGGCUGAUGACAACGCCAUGAAUCUCCGUAAUAGGGCCGUUCCUAGAAAUUCUGGGAGCGAACAGCCCGGUAAUUCGGAGAACGCUGUGGAGCGUCAAGCAGUUUUACCGACGGAGGGUGAAACUAGUGGUCAAUCUGGCCAACAGGAGCCUAGUUUGACCCAAGCACUUGGCCAGAUGACUAGGGUCCUACAGACUAUGGACCAAAAUAGUCAUGCAAGUACCGCAAGAUUGGACGCUGUUUUGGCCGCCAUCACGGCCUCUAAUGAAAACAUAGCCCGAAUAGGGCAAUUGUUAGCUCGAAACGAACAGCCGAUAGCAGGCCUUCAAGUGCCUGUGGUAACACCAGUAUUACAGAAUCCAGUGACACCGGUAGGUGGCCAGCCCCAAUACCAGGGGGCACCAUAUCAAGCGGUUUAUAGACCGGCUGUCAGUAAUGCCGGUCAACAGCCAGAAAUAGCUUGGGGCUUACCUCCACCCCCUCCAAUUGCAGCUUACCAGCCUCAAAAUGUAGAGGUUAGGGGGCAGCUCCCGAAUGCACAAGGGGUUAAUCCCCUAAGGCAAAAUAUUGGGAUUCAACAACCAUUGAACCAGUACCAGCGCAAGCCCCCUUGCCGGGGAUUAAUAAUGAAAUAUAUGCGCAAAUAGAAGAAGCGAUCCGAAACACUUUCGGAGUAGGCACAAUUCCGGCAAUGCGGCCUGUUUUUAGAUCGCCUUACCCUGUUAAUAUAGAUGUGGAACACCCAUAUCCGGCAAAUUGGAAGAUGCCGAAAUUUGACAAAUUUUCUGGAGAUGAGACCGAAAAUACGGUCGAACAUGUCGCUCGAUUUACAGCCCAAUGCCACGAAGCUGCGGCAGAUCCUUUUUUGAAAUUAAGAUUAUUUAAUACUUCAUUGACCAAGACAGCUUUCACUUGGUAUACGAGUUUACCUGCUAAUUCCGUCUGAGACUGGGACGAAUUAGAAGGUAAGUUUCAUGAGCAAUUUUAUAGAACUGAGCCUGAGUUGUCAGUUGCAGACUUGGCUCAAUUUAGACAAAAAACNNNNNNNNNNNNNNNNNNNNNNNNNNNNNNNNNNNNNNNNNNNNNNNNNNNNNNNNNNNNNNNNNNNNNNNNNNNNNNNNNNNNNNNNNNNNNNNNNNNNAACGAGUUAUUAUUGCUAGUGGGCUGGGUCGUUACACCGGGUCAAAGGUCGGGGAAUUUCGGCUCCAACACACACCAAUGGAUCUCUUCAACAAAGUCUUUUUUUUUUUUGAGAGAGAGAGAGAUAGGUAGCACGCUACUCGCUUCGUUUAUUUCAUUCAGAAAUAAACUUAGCUGAAAAUAUGAAUUAACUAGGAUUUGAACUUGGGUCUCGGGUACCAACCACCAAGCCCUUUGCCACUUGCUCUAGGGACGGUCGGUAUCUCUUCAACAAAGUCAAAGUAAUUAAUUUGCGUGUCCUAUACAAUCUCACGACCAAAUCUCCAACUGCCUGACACAAAAAAAAAAAAAAUAACACACAAUAUUUUAAAUUUCGGACACCAGGAACAAAUUUUAGGCAUCCAAGAUAUCGGAGGUCAUGAUUCCACUUCUGGAGAGAGAGAGAGAGAGAGAGCAUACAAGGCAAUAACCUUUUGAAAUAAAAUUCAAAUUCUAAACUUGGGCGCUCAAAACAUCUUUAACUUUGCCGAUCGUCAAAUACGAUGCCCCUUAUGAAAAAUAAACUUCUAGCAUGAAAGAUUUGGUGCUAUUAAUAAUACAGUGGCUCAAUUUAAUGUAUAAAAAACCAACUAAACCAACUUGCAAUAUGGAGAGAGCAGAGGGACUCUCUAUACAUUUUUACCGGUGAGAGUUAAAAAAAAAAAAGUAUUUUUAGGAAUAAUAAAUAUAUUAUCAAGCACGAAAUUUGGCGCAUUGUCAGGUUAAAGCGGGUGCUGAGUGCGGCAUUGGAGUAAUUAAACUAAUAAUACUAGUAAUUAAGAACUUAGUUUCCUGGAAAAGCAAUAACGAUAAUGAAAAAAAAAAGAAAGAUAAACUUCAAUUUGUCUCCAUAUAAUAUAAAUUAUAUUAAUGUUUCUGUGGUUCAAAAAAUUAUAUUUAAUUAUUCCAUAAUUUUAUUUUUAUUUUUAUCUAAAAAAUAUCCAAUCAAAUAACUAAUAAAGUAAAGUUUGUUGAUAAUUACAAAAAGAUCUCAACCCUUAAAUGUUUUAAAAUAGAUAGUGGAGAUGACUUUUAUUUAAGAGGGUGACUGAUUUUGUUGUCUUAGGUACCAUUCAUUUUUUUAACGAGGGCAAAAUACUUUCUCAUUUAUAAAGUUAGUAUCAAGGACUUUUUUUAUAAAUUUCUAUUAUCAUUUUCGUAAUGCCCCUUUAAUUAUAGAACAUUCCAUUCCAUUUUUGAAAAUUUCCAUCCACAUCCCAUCUUCGUCCGAAACCAUUUUUUCCUUUUUUUUUGUUGAGAGAGAAAUCCAUGUUCAUUGCUUAAUAACUAAUUUAUACUUAAAAUUUUUUAAGUGAUAGAUUAUUUUUUCUAUCUUCCUCUUCCAUCUUUUUAAAUUUCCUAUCCAUAGCAUUUCAUCUUCCUCCAUACCUAUGCCUUUUUUUUUUUU